GGGAUGGGCACCCCCCACUUGUCCUCCGCCAGUCGUGUCGCCUCGUCCUGGGUCCGAGGGGUCCGACGAACGCACGCACUCUACUCUCUUCCUCGAUCGCUGUCCACCCGUCACCGCCACCGCCGGCCUCCGCACAUGCGUCUUCGGUGACUCUUCCCCCACCGCCACGCCGACGCCGUCGUCGAGCUAAAAACUCACACGGAACCGCACUGCCACGCCACCACCACAUGUACUGUACUACUAGCUAGGUGCCGCGGCUCGCUCGCGACCGAGAUGAAGGAAGCCAAGUGGUCCGCGCCGAAGCCGAUGAUGGGCGGCGGGAGGCGCGCCGCCGCUCCCAAUUACUCCCUACUCGCCACCUCCCCUCCCACAAGCAUCAGCAACGACGCCUGCUCGCCGCACUACCCUCCACCGCCUUCCCACGACGACGCCGCCUCCUCGUUCGAGCCGCCUCAGCGCCACAGCCCGCAGCUCGGCGUGGCGGAUUGGCAGCGCCAGUCCAGCGGGAGCAGCGUGGGCGGCGACGACGCGGACGGGUACUCCUCCGUCUCCACCACCGUCGCCAAUGCGGAGAGCAAGGCCAACAACGCGGGCGCAGCGGAUCGGCCGCCGGACAGCAGCAGCGGCGGCAAGAGCUGGGCGCAGCAGGCGGAGGAGGCCUACCAGCUCCAGCUCGCCCUCGCGCUCCGCCUCUGCUCCGACGCCGCCUCCGCCGCCGACCCAAACUUCCUCGACUCCUCCUCCGCCCCUGAGCACCACCACCACCACACCGCCACCUCCCUCUCCCACCGCUUCUGGGUCAAUGGCUGCCUGUCCUACUCCGACAAGCUCUCUGACGGCUUCUACCUCAUCCAGGGGAUGGAUCCCUUCAUAUGGACGCUCUGCACCGACGUGCAGGACGGCGGACGCAUCCCGUCCAUCGACUCCCUCAGGGCUCUCAACCCCACCGAAUCCUCCCUUGAGGUGGUCAUCGUAGACAAGGUGGCCGACUACGACCUGAGGCAGCACAUAAGCACCGCCAUUGACGUUUCUCGGACCUGUGCAGACUCCAAGGAAAUUACCGCUCGCCUCGCCGGCAUUGUGUCGGUGAAGAUGGGGGGUUCACUAACAUCUACUGAAGAACACGAGUUGGUUCCCCGAUGGACAGACUGCGCUGGGUUCCUCAAGAUUACCUCAGCUUCUCUCGUGCUUCCAAUUGGCAAGUUAUCAGUUGGCCUAUGCUGCCACCGAACGUUGCUGUUCAAGGCCAUAGCAGAUUCUAUCAAUCUUCCAUGUAGAAUUGUGAGGGGAUGCAAAUAUUGCAAAGCUGCUGGUGCCGCCUCUUGCUUGGUACGCUUUAGCACUGACAGGGAAUAUCUAGUUGAUUUGAUAGGGAACCCAGGCCUGUUGUCUGAACCUGACUCCCUCUUGAAUGGCCUCUCAUCGAUGUCCAUUUCUUCACCACUGCGGCCACCAAAACACAACUCAGUUGAUGUUGUUCAUAACUUCAAGUCAUUGGCCAAGCAAUAUUUCCUUGAUUGCAAAUCGCUAAAUCUAAUGUUCAAUGAUCCAGCAGCAGCUAUUGACUUAGAUGCGGCCAUGGGAUCAAAUCGUGGUCCAAACUCAUCACAUGCGACAAAUAGUGAUUUGCAAACUACCUUGUCCCAUAUUAAGGGCGAUGCUGGUAGAGAUGGAAAUUUUAUAAGGCAAAGAAGUUUCCCUGAAGAUAUUCUGUCUGGACAAAGAGACCCCUUCAGCGAUGUAUCUCUCAGCAUAGAAGACUUGAUUAUUCCAUGGAGCGAACUUGCUGUGAGAGAGAAAAUCGGUGCUGGUUCUUUUGGAACUGUGCACCGUGCUGAUUGGAAUGGCUCGGAUGUUGCUGUUAAGAUUCUAAUGGAUCAGGAUCUCCACCCAGAGCGUCUCAAAGAGUUUCUAAGAGAGGUUGCAAUCAUGAAAAGUCUGCGACAUCCAAACAUUGUUCUUCUUAUGGGUGCUGUUACUCAGCCACCUAACCUUUCAAUUGUGACCGAAUAUCUAUCAAGAGGUAGCCUAUACAGACUUCUACACAGGCAUGGCGCAAGGGAAAAUCUAGAUGAGAGACGGUGCUUGAGUAUGGCUUUUGAUGUGGCAAAGGGGAUGAAUUAUCUUCAUAAGCGCAAUCCUCCAAUAGUCCAUCGAGAUCUGAAGUCACCAAACCUGUUGGUUGACAAAAAGUACACAGUGAAAGUUUGUGACUUUGGACUCUCUAGAUUGAAGGCAAACACAUUUUUGUCUUCCAAGACUGCAGCAGGGACUCCUGAGUGGAUGGCACCAGAAGUUCUACGUGAUGAGCCAUCAAACGAGAAGUCUGAUGUGUACAGCUUCGCUGUCAUCCUAUGGGAGCUCAUGACAUUGCAGAAACCAUGGAGUAAUUUAAAUCCAGCUCAGCCUGUUAUUUCACCUGCAGGUGGUAGCAGCCGUUGGUUUCAGGGGACGAAGGCCUGAGAUUCCAAGUAGUGUUGAUCCAAAAGUGGCAGCUAUAAUUGAAUCCUGCUGGGCCAAAGAACCCUGGAGAAGACCCUCUUUUGCUACUAUCAUGGAGUCCCUGAAACCACUUAUCAAGACGUUACCUCCUCAACUCCAAGAGGAAAAUUAGCUGCCUCCCAUGAGGUUCCUCCUGGUUCCUGGAUAUCCCAAACAUGUGAACAUUUUGAUAACUUACCCAGCAAAAAGUUGACUAUAUAUCUGAUCUAUUGAUUUUAGAGGUACAGCCCUUGUUAGCGCAUAGUUGCAUCUGUAUUGUUAUGUGUGGAAAUCAAUUAAAGUUAUAUUUCUUACAUAGGGCCACAUUUGUCAUUAGUUCCUUCAACAUAUGUAUUCACCUUUCACCCUACAAAAAACAAGCAAUCUCUUUGAAUAGAGCCACUUAGUUUGUGCGUAUAUGUAAUCUUCAUUAUUUGGUUCCUAGAUCGUGCUAACAUCACAGCUUGUAAAUGUUGUUGUAGUUGUUCACUGUCACGGCACACACGACUU